UACGAAGGGGGCUAGCGUUGUUCGGAAUCACUGGGCUUAAAGGGCGCGUAGACGGGCGACCGCGUCGAUGGCUGAAAGCCCCCGGCUCAGCCGGGGAACGGGCCUCGAUACGGGUCGCCUCGAGUGGAGGAGGGGGACCUGGAACUGCCGGUGGAGCGGUGAAAUGCGUUGAGAUCGGCAGGAACGCCUGUGGCGAAAGCGAGGUCCUGGACUCUUACUGACGUUGAGGCGCGAAAGCCAGGGGAGCGAACGGG
rnacentral:rRNA from 1 species